CCCAAGUCUAAUGUUAUUUAAUCAAUGAUUUUAAAUACUUUACUCAAAUCAAGUGUUAUUGUUUCUUAUAUUUGCAAAAUCUUCAUUAAAAGAGUUUAAAAUCUAGUGUUAUUGGUUCUUAUAUUUGCAAAAUCUUCAUUAAAAAAGUUUAAUAUCUAGUGUUAUUGGGUCUUAUACUUACAAUUAUUAACUAAAGUCUCAUGUUAUUCAAGUUUGGUGGAUUUUCACAAAUGAUUUCAUUUGAAAAGCUUUGAGUGAAUCUGAAACUGAUUUCAUGUGUAAAUUAUGUCAAUCCGAAAACCAACCUUCUAACAUGAGAUCUGACAAUCUAAUAAAUUAAUAAAAGUUUCAUUGAACGUAAUACACGUACGUUAUCAAUAUUUGCAAACUCAUUCACCCAUGACCCAACACAUACGUAUCUCUCUUUAUCAUUUUUUCCCAGUCUUUUUUUUUAUCUCUAGUUAAUGUGUAUAUUUGUUUUAACAGUUGUUGUAUGAUUCAUUUGAUCACUUUAACAAAAAAAAAAAAGAAAACAAUUUUCAUUUUUAAAAGAUAUGUUAAGACUUCAAUACAAAAAUUUGAAAUGGGAAAAAAAUAAGUGAUGGUAAAAGUUUGGUAUAAUUUCAUUGAAAAUUGUAAAAUCAUUUGUUAUAGAAUUCAAUUCUAUUGUUCAAAAUCAAAAGAUAUCAUAUGUCAGUGUAAAUACACUACCACUGAUUUAAAGAAUGAAUAAUAAAUCA
rnacentral:lncRNA from 1 species